ensembl:misc_RNA Metazoa_SRP Metazoan signal recognition particle RNA
GGUAGGAGGAGACAUCAAAAUCACCCUGGCCACGUGGGGCCUUUUAAACAGAGCAAUUGCUUGAGCUUGAGAGUUCUGGGCUGUAGUGUGCUAUGCAAAUUGGGUGUCUGCAUCAAUAUGGGGACCCCCCCACUGCCACCAAAAGCAGGGGACCAUCAGGUUGCCUAAGGAGGAGUGAACUGGCCCAGGUCAGAAGUGGAGCAGGUCAAAACUCCUGCACUGAUCAGUAGUGGGAUUGCACCUGUGACUAGCCACUGCAUCCCAGCCAGGGCAACAUAGUGAGACCCUGUCUCA